GCAUUAAUAAACUGUUUGAAACUUUGGUUCAUGGAUUGGUUUGGUUUUCAGUUACAGCUUUCUUCCUAGCCACCAUAAUGGGUGUGAGAUUUAAGAGAUCCAAGAAAAUAAUGCCUGCUGGGCUGGUAGCAGGUUUAAGCCUCAUGAUGAUCCUGAGACUCAUUUUAUUGCUGCUGUAAGCAUCUGGAGGAACUGAAAACUAAAUUCAUGUCAUUCGACUGUAAGGGGGCAGAGCGUAUUCUUUGUAUUUAAGAGAUAAAUUUCAAUAUAGAAUAUCAAAUAUCUUAUUUUAUGUUAGAAACAAAAGUAACACUGUCACCUCUAAUAUGAACACUGGUUUGAGGUGUUUUCUUUUUUCACACAGAAACUUUAACUGUUUUCUAAUUGUCAAGCACUGUUUUCAUUAAAGGUGUUUAAUGAAUCAUGAUAUACUCUUGCAUUUGCUGUGUCUAUUUUUAUAUAUGUGAUUUUUUUUUUUUUUUUUGAGAAUUCCAAAUACUCAUGAUUUGAUUAAGUUUAAAUUAAACUACAACUUAUCAGAUAAGGGAAUUCCUUACUGGACUUCACAGAAUGCUAAUGUAUCUAUUUGUCAUUUAUGUUAUAUUAGAAAUUACAUUUUUUCCAUUUUAAUUGUAUUGCUGCCAGUGUUAUUUUUUUCCUUUAAAAAAUUCUGUUCUCACCACACGCUGUGUUCUAACAGAAUGUAUUCAGUAUUCAAAUAAAAGACAUUUUGUUUUAAACCUG